AGUGAACGCUGGCGGCAGGCCUAACACAUGCAAGUCGAGCGGAUGAGUGGAGCUUGCUCCAUGAUUCAGCGGCGGACGGGUGAGUAAUGCCUAGGAAUCUGCCUGGUAGUGGGGGACAACGUUUCGAAAGGAACGCUAAUACCGCAUACGUCCUACGGGAGAAAGUGGGGGAUCUUCGGACCUCACGCUAUCAGAUGAGCCUAGGUCGGAUUAGCUAGUUGGUGAGGUAAAGGCUCACCAAGGCGACGAUCCGUAACUGGUCUGAGAGGAUGAUCAGUCACACUGGAACUGAGACACGGUCCAGACUCCUACGGGAGGCAGCAGUGGGGAAUAUUGGACAAUGGGCGAAAGCCUGAUCCAGCCAUGCCGCGUGUGUGAAGAAGGUCUUCGGAUUGUAAAGCACUUUAAGUUGGGAGGAAGGGCAGUAAGUUAAUACCUUGCUGUUUUGACGUUACCAACAGAAUAAGCACCGGCUAACUUCGUGCCAGCCGCCGCCGUAA
rnacentral:rRNA from 1 species